UACGUAGGGGGCAAGCGUUGUCCGGAAUCACUGGGCGUAAAGGGCGCGUAGGCGGCCUUGGUAAGUAGGGGGUGAAAUCCUGCGGCUUAACCGCAGGGCUGCCUUCUAAACUGUCAGGCUUGAGCACGGUAGAGGCAGAUGGAAUUCCCGGUGUAGCGGUGGAAUGCGUAGAGAUCGGGAAGAACAUCAGUGGCGAAGGCGGUCUGCUGGGCCGUUGCUGACGCUGAGGCGCGACAGCGUGGGGAGCAAACAGG
rnacentral:rRNA from 1 species